rnacentral:rRNA from 1 species
GACGAACGCUGGCGGCGUGCUUAACACAUGCAAGUCGAACGGUGAAGGGACCAGCUUGCUGGUUCUGGAUGAGUGGCGAACGGGUGAGUAACACGUGAGUAACCUGCCCCCUUCUUCUGGAUAACCGCAUGAAAGUGUGGCUAAUACGGGAUAUUCUGGGUCUGUCGCAUGGCGGGCCCGGGAAAGAUAUUGCUUCGGUGGGGGAUGGGCUCGCGGCCUAUCAGCUUGUUGGUGGGGUGAUGGCCUACCAAGGCGGUGACGGGUAGCCGGCCUGAGAGGGUGGACGGUCACACUGGGACUGAGACACGGCCCAGACUCCUACGGGAGGCAGCAGUGGGGAAUAUUGCACAAUGGGCGCAAGCCUGAUGCAGCGACGCCGCGUGAGGGAUGGAGGCCUUCGGGUUGUAGACCUCUUUCGCCAGUGAAGCAGGCCUGCUCCUUGUGGGUGGGUUGACGGUAGCUGGAUAAGAAGCGCCGGCUAACUACGUG